rnacentral:snRNA from 1 species
GAGCAUUACAAUUCUUUUAGAAUUUGUCUAGCAGGUUUUACAGUUACUACCAGGGAAAACCCCC